AGCCGGCGGUGGACGAAGCGCUCGCCAACCCGGUCAGGUCCGGAAGGAAGCAGCCGUAACGAAUCCGCUUUGGGUCGCCGCCGUCUCUC
rnacentral:SRP_RNA from 1 species